rnacentral:lncRNA from 1 species
UGUCAGUUUUGAGGUUCUACUCUAAAUACUAAUGCUACCUAAAUUAAAUAGAUUUUUGAAGCUCCGAACUAAACCACCAAUGACAUGCGGCACUGUUAUCAUAAACACCGAGCAAUCAUGUAAAUUCAACUCUUAAUCUGUAUUCCUUAGCAGAUCAGUUUCAGCAUCUCAGUUUCAGCAUCUCAGUUUCAGCAUCUCAGUUUCAGCAUCUCAGUUUCAUUAUCUGUUGGAAAUUUUUCAUGAAUAUUAGAUUUUUUAGUUACUGUCCACUGUGAGCUAUGCUUUGAUCGUUGGUGUUACAACGAAGUCUGUGGAAAAAAGCUCUGCAUUUUGGUAACUUCACGUUUUCCAAGGGCUACAGAAGCAGUGACAUUGGCAACUUCGGCUUCUUUUACGUCUGUCGUUAACGUUUCGCUAUGAACUGAGCGAAAACUGCACUACUAGAUGAAGUUUCGAUAUUUAAUUCAGCAAACUCAACAAGACUUGAGCGGCAAGAUGUUGCAUGGAGGAAUUCAAUAGCAUGCCACAGGGAUAACAUUCUAGGACUGUAUGGUGGUUAAGUUUGUAAAGAAUACCUUUGGAGAGAGGGCUCAAGUGACAUUGCAAAAACCUUGUGGCUCGGAGGUAGGCAUCGCCCGACUUCAAACCAACCUGGCUGAGAAAAAUUCAAGGGGCAAAAGUCAAAGCUAGCGCCUGCAGGUAGCCCAGUCACCAAACUAUAUAAAGUUGCGUUGCAAAUUCCUUUGUGUGGAAGAUGUAGGGGGUGGGGAAGGUAGGAUUUGAGUCAUCAGUCAUGAGAGAUCUUUGGUGGAAAUCUUGGUUGAGUUCUUACGAGGUUUAAUUUGUUUUGGACUUUGUCCCUUUAUUCAGUCAGACCCAUGCUUUAUAGCAUUAUUUAUCAUUUAUUUAUUAUUAUUUAUUUCUUUUAUUGAACUUUAUUUAUACACGGGUAAAAACAUCAGGACUUAAAGCAAAUACUAAAAUUACAUUAAUUACAUUGUUAAGAUACUAAUCUACUACUAGUUGAACCUAAUAACAACAAAACAACAACGAAGUGCCUACUUUCCAUGAAUGCUGUGUGAUUAAUUAAUUUAUUUACUAUCAAAAAGGAAACCUCUGCAACCGGAUUUAAAAGGAGCGAUAGUUUCUGCUUGCCAUAGAUUAGUAGGUAAGCUGUUCCACAUCAGCGCACCAUUAUAGCUGAGACUGUUUUUUAGAAAAUUGAUACGGGGGAGUGGAACAGCUAGUUUGCCCUCACAAUUCCUAAGAGAGUAGGUAAAUAUUGCACUCCGAUCAGUAAACAUUGAUUUCAAAUAAUCAAGGGCGAGACCAUUAAGAGACUUAUAGACCAUAGUGGCUGUCUUUAAUUCUCGUUGAAGGCUAAGUUUUGCCAGCCUAGUCUAACAAAGAGAUCAUCCGCAUUGGCAUCGUAUGAAGAAGAAGUUAAAAUACGCGCAGCGCGAUACUGUAGUUUUUGUAAUUUAAUGGAAGAAGACUUGUUGAAACCCCUUGUAGUGGACUAGAUCAUUUUGAUUGGAGUUGGGGUGGGGCUGGG